UACGUAGGGCGCAAGCGUUAUCCGGAAUUAUUGGGCGUAAAGAGCUCGUAGGCGGUUUGUCGCGUCUGCCGUGAAAGACCGGGGCUUAACCCCGGUUCUGCUUCCGGUACGGGCAUGCUGGAGUGUGGCAGGGGAGACUGGAAUUCCUGGUGUAGCGGUGGAAUGCGCAGAUAUCAGGAGGAACACCGGUGGCGAAGGCGGGUCUCUGGGCCAUUACUGACGCUGAGGAGCGAAAGCGUGGGGAGCGAACAGG
rnacentral:rRNA from 1 species